rnacentral:tRNA from 1 species
GGAUUGUAGCUCAGCGGUAGAGUGCUUGUCUAGCAUGUGCGAGGUACUGGGUUCGAUCCUCAGCACCA